GCCGCCGUAGCUCAGCUGGUAGAGCACGUCUCUCGUAAAGACGGGGUCGACGGUUCGAGUCCGUCCGGCGGCU
rnacentral:tRNA from 1 species